GUCCCCUUCGUCUAGUGGCCUAGGACACUGCCCUUUCACGGCAGUAACAGGGGUUCGAAUCCCCUAGGGGACGCCA
rnacentral:tRNA from 1 species